AGUCGGUUGUGUCUAGUGGAACAAAAACGGUAGGGAGCGUACAUUUUGAGAGGCGCAGAGAAUAGGCGAUCACGCAGAGUAGGAACAAAAGCCGUCAGUUGUGAAAAGCCCAAACAGUGGAGCUCCAGUGUUUGGGUUUCUGGCCACGUUCGCCACUGACGCGUGAGAGGAGGGGACCGACAGUUUCCAACCGCUCUCUCUCAUCUAGGCUGGGGAGAAUAAUGUGUUAGACUCAAUAGCACAAUAACCCUAUGUAUAGGGUCUCUCUCUCUUGCCAUUCAAGCACAAGCAAUCCAUUUUUGAGGAAAAUGUUAGUAGGAGAAACGUCAUUGAUGAGAUUGAUGAGCUAUAGAAACUUUUGUAAUAGGCCUAUAUUAUCAAAAAGGAUCUCUGGCACUAUUUUGGAUUAUCAAAAGAGGCCCUGUUGAAGAAGUAAAAAUGAGUGUACAUACUGGAAGGUGCAACCCUGUCAGGAAACAAUAUGGUGGGUCAUGUUACUUGGGGGUCUCAGAGACCAGGGACUGGGAAGAGGGCCCAAGUACAACCUACAAGGAACAACCAUCAAUUCACAGAUGGAGGACGUGAAAAAGAAAGAGAGUGGGCGGAUGGAGUGAAGGAUGAAGGCUGGGUAGACGACUGAACAGAGAGAGAGAGGCUCUACGCGGCUGUUCAUCCAUUCAUCGCCAUGGGCUCUUGUCCUCGUCUCUCCUCCCCUGCUCCACCCUCCCAUCCCAGGGCCCUUUGAAGCGAGUGCGGCCCCAAAAAGGAGCUCCUGAGUGGGCUGGUGAGGCAUGAAUAAGUCCCUGCUGGUUACCAGCACCUCUGGAGAUGACGGCAAGAGAAAUCAAUAUGGAAAAGAGAAUGUGGAGAACAGAGUGGGGUUGUCCAGGUUAGCCCACGGCCUAGGGGCCUGGAGACCUCCAGAGGAGGCCCAUCUUGACCUCGCUCAGCCCCAGCCAAGGCUCCUCAGACUGGGCCUGGGUCCCUAACCACACUGGGUGUGUGUGGUUCUGCUGGAAGGGGCCUCCCAACAAACACCAAAUGAUGCACAUUAUUUAUUUUUUUAGAAUGCUAAAGGGGAUUUUCCUCUCUCUUUAUUUCUGUUUUCUUUAAAAAAGAUUGACGUACUCCCCCACCUGCACCCUGUGUGUGAAUGCUGGUGGGGGGGUUCUGAUUUUUGAUUCAGACUUCAGAUCCACUCACUGCUUAUUCCCGGGGACACUUUUACAUUUGUCAAAGAGACAGUAACGUCUCAUUUUUACACUUCUAUUUUUCUUUUCUACACUGGCGUGCUUCCUCCACAGCGAUAUACAAACCACAACAACCACUUGAAUAGAUUUUUUUUUAUCAGGCUCUUUAUUGUUCAAUUCCAAUAUAAUUUUUCAGUUGGCAUGAUCAAAGACCAUAGAACGAAAGACUACAACCCAUGAAAAGUAAAACCCAGGUCAGAUCUCCUAUCGAUAUAGCUCAUUAAUUUUGACCAGCUAGAAUAAAAGGGACCUAAAGGACCCAGGAAAACACAAGGCCAACAACAGGAGCAGUACAGAUGACUGGACACUCCCUGGAAAAACACAGAACCAGCAGACAGAUCGACAUGUGAGAGUGAAAGAACGAAGGUUGCUUGUUUGGACCAACCGGAUCACAUGAGACCUUGUGGAGCGCUCCCAUAGGUUCACCUAAGAAAACAAGGGGGGGUGGAAGUCCUUUGACUUCAAGCUUGCUAUAAAGAUUCAUAGAAGGUGGAUUAUGAUGGCCAUGCAAAACUGGACAAAAUAACAAUACAGAAAUUGCUUCUACAAUAUUGACAUUGAAUUAGUACACUUACCUCACUUCUUCACAACUGACUGUUGCUGUCUGAAGCCAUUCUAGUUUGGAAAACAAUUAGCAAUGAUCACAGAUCAUUUGUUCUGCUUUUAAGCUGAUCUUUUGCUGAGGUGUGUAUGAUGUAUGAUUUAUGCUGUGUGCAGUUAUAAUAUAACAGAAAUAGAUCAAUAAAAGUGGUUUGUUUUCUGAAAGUAUUUUGUAUCUAUUUGGUUUAGUUUUGACUGGUACUAUAUUUGAUAGUCAUCAUAUGAUUAUCAUCUCCCAAGAAAUACAGAGCCUUCAGAAAAUAUUCACAUCCCUUUACUUUUUACACAUUUUGUUGUGUUACAACCUGCAUUUCAAAUGGAUUACAUAGAGAUUUUUGUGUCACUGGCGUACACACAAUACCCCAUAAUGUAAAAGUGGAAUUGUUUUUAGAAUUUUUUACAAAUAAUGAAAUGUCUUGUGUCAAUAAGUAUUCAACCCCUAAAUAGGUUCAGGAGUAAGAAUAUUCCUGAAUCACAUAAGAAUAUGUAUUCACACCCCUGAGUAACCUUUAGCAGCGAUUACAACUGUGAGUCUUUCUGGUUAAGUCUCUAAGAGCUUUGCACACCGGGAUGGUACAAUAUUUUCCCAUUAUUUGUAAAAUAAUUCUUCAAGCCCUGUCAAGUUGGUUGCUGAUCAAUGCUAGACAACCAUUUUCCAGUCUUGCCAUAGAUUUUAACACCAAUUUAAGUCAAAACUGUAACUUGGCCAACAUUCAAUGUAGUCUUGGUAAACAACUUCAGUGUUCAGUAUAUUUUGCCUUGUGUUUUAGGUAAUUGUGCUGCUGAAAGGUGAAUUUGUCUCCUAGGGUCUGUUGGAAAGUAGACUGAACCAAGUUUUACUCUAGGAUUUUUCCUGUGUUUAGCUCUAUUCCGCUUCUUUUUAUACAAAAAAAACCUCUGUUGUCCUUGCCGAUGACAAGCAUACCCAUAACAUGAUGAAUCCACCACCCUGUUUGAAAAUAUGAAGAGUGGUACUCAGUGAUGUGUUGUGUUGGAUUUGCCCCAAACAUAACACUUUGUAUUAGGACAAAAAGUAAACUUCUUUGCCACAUUUUUUGCAGUGAUACUUUAGUGCCUUAUUGCAAACAAGAUGCAUGUUUUGGAAUAUUUGUAUUCUGUACAGGCUUCCCUCUUUUCCCUGUAAUUUAUGUUAGUAUUGUGGAGUAACUACAAUGUUGUUGAUCAAUCCUGACUUUUCUCCUACCCCAGCCAUUAAAUUCUAACUGUUUCGAA